GAUGAACGCUGAUAGAAUGCUUAACACAUGCAAGUCUUUGGCGAAGCUGUGCUUGCACAGCCUAGCCAAGGCGGACGGGUGAGUAACGCGUAAGGAACUUGCCCUGCAGUCAGGGAUAACAGACGGAAACGACUGAUAAGACCUGGUAAAGUCAGGCGGACUCAUGUCCAGCCUGAUGAAAAGAGAUGCUGCAGGAGAGCCUUGCGUCCUAUUAGCUUGUUGGUGGGGUAACGGCCCACCAAGGCGAUGAUAGGUAGCCGGCCUGAGAGGGUGGACGGCCACAAGGGGACUGAGAUACGGCCCUUACUCCUACGGGAGGAAGCAGUGGGGAAUAUUGGACAAUGGGGGCAACCCUGAUCCAGCAAUUCUGUGUGCACGAUGAAGGUUUUCGGAUUGUAAAGUGCUUUCAGCAGGGAAGAAAAAAUGACGGUACCUGCAGAAGAAGCGACGGCUAAAUACGUG
rnacentral:rRNA from 1 species